rnacentral:rRNA from 1 species
ACGACGCUGGCGGCGUGCCUACACAUGCAAGUCGCGCGGGAAAGUGGGGCAACUCCACGAGUACAGCGGCGCACGGGUGAGUAACACGUAGGUAACCUACCUUCGAGCCUGGGAUAACCUGUCGAAAGACGGCUAAUACCGGAUAAGACCACGGGGGUUGCGACUCCUGGGGUAAAAGGUGGCCUCUGCUUGCACGCUACUACUCGAGGAUGGGCCUGCGCGCCAUUAGCUAGUUGGCGGGGUAACGGCCCACCAAGGCAAAAGAUGGCUAGCUGGUCUGAGAGGAUGAUCAGCCACACUGGGACUGAGACACGGCCCAGACUCCUACGGGAGGCAGCAGUGGGGAAUAUUGCGCAAUGGGCGAAAGCCUGACGCAGCGACGCCGCGUGGGGUGAUGAAGGCCUUCGGGUCGUAAAGCCCUGUCGGAGGGACGAAACCUCGGCGACCUAAUACGUCGUCGACCUGACGGUACCUCAUCCGAAGAAGCACCGGCUAACUCUCGUGCCAGCAGCCGCGGUAAUACGGAGGGUGCAAGCGUUGUUCGGAAUCACUGGGCGUAAGCGCGUGUAGCUGGCCUUGUAAGUCUGGUGUGAAAGCCCGGGGCUUACCCCCGGAAGUGCACUGGGAAACUGCGAGGCUUGAGUACCGGAGAGGAGGGUGGAAUUCUGUGUAGCGGUGAAAUGCGUAGAUUUCAGGAGGAACACCGGUGGGCGAAGGCGGCCCUCUGGACGGAUACUGACGCUGAGACGCGAGAGCGUGGGAGCAAACAGGAUUAGAUACCCUGGUAGUUCACGCUGUAAACGAUGGGCACUAGGUGUUCGGGGUAUUGACCCCCUGAGUGCCGCAGCUAACGCAUUAAAGUGCCCCGCCUGGGGACUACGGCCCGCAAGUUAAAACUCAAAGGAAUUGACGGGGGCCGCCACAAGCGGUGGAGCAUGUGGUUUAAUUCGACGCAACGCGAAGAACCUUACCUGGGCUAGACAACGUCGGCCAACUCCAGAAAUGGAGCUCUUCCGCAAGGGACGGCGGUGCAGGUGCUGCAUGGCUAGUCGUCUAGCUCGUGUCGUGAAGAUGUUGGGUUAAGUCGCGCAACGAGCGCACAACCCCUGUCUCUAGUUCGCUACCAUUCAGUUGAGCACUCUAGAGAGACUGCCCGUGUUAAACGGGAGGAAGGUGGGGAUGACGUCAAGUCCUCAUGGCCCUUAUGUUCCAGGGCUAUACACACGUGCUACAAUGGGCGGCAACAAAGGCUGCGAACCUCGUGAGGGGAGCCAAUACCCAAAAAGCCGCUCUCAGUUCGGAUUGGAGUCUGCAACUCGACUCCAUGAAGCGGAAUCGCUAGUAAUCGCGGAUCAGCAUGCCGCGGUGAAUACGUUCCCGAGCCUUGUACACACCGCCCGUCACACCAUGGAAGUCAGUUGUACCGGAAGUCGGUGACUCAACCGCAGGGGAUAGCUGCCCAUGGUAUGGCUGAUGACUGGGGUG